UGAUGGGACUGCAGUCUGUCAGAGAUCAGCUGUGCUUCUCUGGUCUCAGCUCUGAAGUCCAACCCCCCCCUCCUGAGAGAGCUGGACCUGAGGAACACCAAGCUGCAGGAUUCAUCAGAGAAGCUGCUGCGUGACCUUCUGAAGAGUCCAGACUGCAGACUGGAGACUCUCAGGAUCGAUGACGAGUUGAUCACAGCUGAGAAACACAGAACAUAGGACUCCAUCAAACUGGAUGUGUGAACAAACCUGCCCGAGGAAGACAGCAAGGUGAAAGAGGAGCAGCUGCACAGUGUGAAGUAUAUUUAUGGAGCUUCACCACAGAAUCAAAUGUAGUUAUUGGUAAUUGUUUGCCUGGGACCGACCUGCAGGCUCAGCUUGUAUUAGCUCAGAUCAACUGGUCCUCCUGCUGGAGAGACGAGUGGAAGAUGGAGCAGUUCAUAUCUAAAGAUAUAUAUAUAUAUAUAUAUAAUUAACUUGGGUUACUUAAAUAUAUUUCUUAAAGCUUAAAGUGCAUCAACCUGUUCACCUUUCAUAAGUUCUCUUGCUGGAGUUCUGAUAUACACUUGUACUUGUUUAAACUUCAUCAGACUUCUUGUUUCUGAUACUCAUCGUCGCAUCUUAAACAUUAUUCUUAUUAUGGCCACACAGUAAAUACAUCACCUUCAUCAAUACAAGCAUCUUAUGGCACAUGUACAAUAAGUGCGUUCACUCUUUAGUAAGUUAGUGAGAUGACUGCACUGCAUGGACUCCACCACAGAGGUGUAUGCUGGAGUGUGCACACUUAGGUUCCCUCUAACAGACUCAUUUAAAUGUUCAUCACUCUUGUUAUAACUUUCUAACUUCAUGGUGAACUCUGUAAAGAAGAAGAACGUAAGUGUUUCUCAUUAUAAUGACAUAUUACUGAAGUUGAUUUAUUCCAGCUCUA